rnacentral:lncRNA from 1 species
CUUGAAGCGCUCUGCCAUGGGACAGGCGGGAGGCCCCUUGAUUUCAUGUUCCCUCCCUCACUCAAGGACAAGUCCUGAGGCUGGAAAUGGGGAAACAGCUGCCUGCUUCUUGUGCAGCUCUGCCGCUUUCACUCCCUCCUGCUGCAGAGGAGGUGCCCUUGGCAGCCGCCUGCCCUGCACUGCAGACACAGGGCCAGCCCUCUGAUGCAACGGUAAGCCCUUUGCCCGGGGAGCCGGGAGCCCUCCAGCCCAGGGGCGGGGGGGUCUGUCCCCUUGUUACUCACUUGGGUGGGUUGGAAACGCUCCUCCCCAUGGUGCUCACCUCAGGCCUGUCUGCACCUCCCUGCCGGGCAGAUAUAACGGAGGGGGGAGGGGGGCACGCUGAGAUUGCUCAGGCAGGAGAAACUGCAAAGACUGGUGGGUUAUUCACCCAGCCAGCCACAAAACAGCUUCUCUAAUACCUUAGUGGUGACCCAGGAGACAACACAGAGCUCCCUGAGAGCGACCCAGCCCUGGGCUCCCCGACAGCCCAGUCAGACACGCUGAGGAUUGCCAUUGGGUAUAAAGUUCUACCAGUCACCAGGGAUCGGACACAUCAUCCCCUAGCUCAGCGGAUAGCUCAGAUCUCACCGAAACACAGCUUCCAGCCAGCUCUUAUUAACCAGUCUAAGAUUUAUUAAACAAGACAAGAGGGGAUCAUGGUUAAAGGCUGGUUAUGCAUCCAGAUAUGAACAGACUCUUCGAUCAGUUUCCUAGCAGACAUGGUGAGCCGCUGAGUGCAGAAAGCUCUUGCCAGAAUCGGUUCCUCGGGUUACAGUCCAUGUGUAGAGUUUGUUCUGAUCCUUCCACAAGGAGGAGCAGGGGCCUCCAGACGGGAGCUGGACACCUCAGUCUUGCAACUCAAGCUUCCCCUGAUGAAGCUUAAGCAGAUGUGAGCUACAGGAGCAGGGCCCUGGAGUUCCUGAAUAGAUCUCCAGCAGGCUGCGACAGCCUCUGGCCAGCCGGCGUUCCUUGUGUGGAGCUUUGUGUAUAGCCACGGAACUAGUUGCAUUCACCUCCCAUUGGUUGUGUAUACACACAAACAUUGUGGCUUUGCAGUGAAGCCUCCUAGUGCCUGUGUAUACCCACAGAACUAAUUGCAUUCACCAGCACAAGGUAAUUCUCCAUUGGGCAGCUCACAAACUUCAGUGAGAAGCAGAGCCAGUGACAUUAUCACACCCAGGUUCCACCUACACGGUAAUGCCCCGACUGAUCUCUGGAGCAACAGACUCUAGUGCAGACAAUGCCGGCCAGGGGCCGGCCGGUUACCCGGGGAACCUCUGACAGGAGCAGCGCCCACAGGCAAUUGGGAUUCGCCGCAAAUUCUCUCCCAGUCCAGGUUCUGGGCUCUGCCGUGGCUACGGACUGGCCCACUCACCCUUUACAGACUCCUCUAAUCUGUCUGUGAAGGUAGAUCUGGGGUCAUUUCGCCUGCUAGUCGCGUGACCCAGUCAGGCUCCGUGUCACAGAGGCUUGGGCACUGCCCAGGCCUGGCAGCCUCCCCACUGCUGCCCCGCUGUGCCGCCAGCCGAGGCCUGUUUGGAGAGGGUGUGGCCUGGCUCUGCUGCACUGGGGGGCAGGGAGGUCCCAGGGCUGUAGAGGUCACAAGAGA